CAACUUUCAACAACGGAUCUCUUGGCUCUUGCAUCGAUGAAGAACGCAGCGAAAUGCGAUAAGUAAUGUGUAUUGCAGAAUCCAGUGAAUCAUCGAAUCUUUGAACGCACCUUGCGCCCUUUGGUAUUCCGAGGGGCAUGCCUGUUUGAGAGUC
rnacentral:rRNA from 1 species